rnacentral:rRNA from 1 species
ACCUACGGGGCGCAGCAGUGGGGAAUAUUGCACAAUGGGGGAAACCCUGAUGCAGCGACGCCGCGUGAGUGAAGAAGUAUUUCGGUAUGUAAAGCUCUAUCAGCAGGGAAGAAAAUGACGGUACCUGACUAAGAAGCCCCGGCUAACUACGUGCCAGCAGCCGCGGUAAUACGUAGGGGGCAAGCGUUAUCCGGAUUUACUGGGUGUAAAGGGAGCGUAGACGGCAGCGCAAGUCUGAAGUGAAAUCCCAUGGCUUAACCAUGGAACUGCUUUUGAAACUGAAUGGCUAGAUUGCAGAAGAGGCA